rnacentral:rRNA from 1 species
GACGAACGCUGGCGGCGUGCCUAACACAUGCAAGUCGAGCGGAGACAUGAGGGAGCUUGCUCCCGAAUGUUUUAGCGGCGGACGGGUGAGUAACGCGUGAGCAACCUUUCUCUCAGUGGGGAAUAACACACCGAAAGGUGUACUAAUACCGCAUGAGACCACAGUGCCGCAUGGCACAGGGGUCAAAGAUUUAUUGCUGAGAGGUGGGCUCGCGUCCGAUUAGAUAGUUGGUGAGGUAACGGCUCACCAAGUCGACGAUCGGUAGCCGACCUGAGAGGGUGAUCGGCCACAUUGGGACUGAGAAACGGCCCAAACUCCUACGGGAGGCAGCAGUGGGGAAUAUUGGGCAAUGGGCGAAAGUCUGACGGAGCAACGCCGCGUGAGCGAAGAAGGCCUUCGGGUCGUAAAGCUCUGUUGUUAGGGAAGAACAAGUACGAGAGUAACUGCUCGUACCUUGACGGUACCUAACCAGAAAGCCACGGCUAACUACGUGCCAGCCGCCGCUAUAACAC